rnacentral:SRP_RNA from 1 species
UAAUAAUGUCAGUGAAACGAUAACAUUGUAACCUGGUCAGGGUGGGAACACAGCAGCCACAUCAAUAAGUGUCGUGUUUGCUGGCUUUUUUAUUUACU